rnacentral:lncRNA from 1 species
GGAAGUGGUUCUUAGAGGCAGUGUGUCUCCCUCUGGUGGCAGAAAAACUGGACCACAGGCUCGAGAGCAAACCACAGUCCCCUCUCGCUGCGUCCAGCUCUGUUAUAUAAAGCAAAAGAAACGAUUUAGGAAAAUAAAGACAAAGCGUCUCCUUUAUAGACAUAUGAGCACCAAUGAGCUGCGGCCUCACACCGCUGAAGGUAAAUUUGUCCUACAAAGUUCAAGACUUCCUUUAGGUGACCUCAAAUAAAUGGAAAAGCUGUGUCUCACUUACAGAGAAGGCUUUUCCAUGUUGUUUGUAAAGUAAAUAACAGUCAGUGACCUAAACACGCUCACCUUCACCACGGAUGCACAGUCCUCUGGAUUUUUUACUUGCUAGCAACAAAAUACUGAAAACAUAGUGAGCUCAUCUCCAUGACAAUGUAUCAAACCUAAACCAACACAUAAACACUUUAACACAGUACAUUUGAUAAAGCUCUAGAUUUAAUGCACAUUCAUGGGAUUUUCUUUUAUUAAACCUCUUAUGCAGUCAUAUAUAAUAAAGCACUAACCUGAGGCUGAUGCCAUAAAGACUCCUGCCUGCUAGAUACAACAUGCCCGACUCCUUCAGCUCAGCCACUGCUUCAGGGGAGAACUUCACAACACAAUUUGCAUAUAGCAUAAGAUCAGCCUUUUACUUUGUGCAUGAUGCAAACUUUAGUUUUCACUCUUUAUUCAAGUAACAGGCCAGAUGGCAAGAAAAUCCACAGAGAGACACGGCAGCGGCACACCUCGCUUCCAUGUUGUGACAACAGCAGCUUGUUUUAAUGCUGAAACCUGCCCCUUGUAGGUGUGCACCAGGUAGGAGUCCUCUUUAAGACCUUCAGGUCUUUCAGGGAGCAGAUGAGACACAGAUGAUCAUGAGGCGGUUUUUCCGAGCACACCGGGACGAGGACUUCAGUCAGAUCCAGUAUCUGACGGCCAAGUGCACCCGCUUAGCUCAUGACAAAGCGGUGUUGGACAGAGAGUUUCUGGUGUCCCGAGAGAGGGAGAGAAGGCUGCAGAAUGAUCUGGAAGCUGUGACCGCCCGACUCCUCGAGCAAGACCAGCUCAAUAUGGAACUCAGGAUGAACCAGACCCAACUCAUCAGCAGGAUCCAGCAGCAGCAGGACCUGGUGAACCUGCUUCGGCAGCGCGUGGUCCUGCUAGUGGAGGCGAGCUCCCGGGAUGCAGAGCUACUGCGGCAGGUCGGCGCAGAGCUGCUUUGCCUGCAGAGCUCUGAGGUGAAGCUGGAGGGCCUGGUGGAGGAGCUGCAGGCUGAGGCCCAACAUAGAACUGAGGUGGCAGAAAAUCUCCAGACAGAGCUGUAUGCUGAGGCCCGGCACAGAGCUGCACUCACUGAGAGCCUCCACGCAGAGCUGCGCAGUAAGACAGUGGAGCUGGAAAAGCUAGAAGAAACUAACAGGACGCUGACAGAAGAGCUGACGGAUCUGCGCAGAACUUAUCAGAAGGAGGUGAGAGAACUGCAGCAGGAAAAUGAGGGAAGCCUGAGGAAACUUCAGGAGACGGCAGAGCAGUUCGAGUGGCUCUGUCAGCAACAGCGUUACUGGAUGUCUUGUGUGAAGAGGUUCAAAGACUGCCUCAUGGAGGAGAGAGAAGCUCUGCUGCGACAGGUCAGCAGGUUGGAAAAGAAAGCUGAGAAACUAAAGCGUUCACACGACGGCAGUCCAACACGGAGGCUUGUCUGCCCCCUUCAGGACGCCGAGAGCUGUGACAGCAGUAUAACAUCAUGGGAGGCAGAUGCAGUGACCAACCUGGAGUCUCAGGUGGAGAAGUCAAACGUGCUGUAUGAAGAGCUCCUCGACCAGGCAGGGAGCCCUAUCAACGGAUACCAAAAACCUCCAUGAGGACAGAAGCCUGGAUGUCUUUGCUUUCUUUUCUCACCUUCUGCAAGCCAGGAGAUGCAAUGUUUUAUGUGUUUGUGGUUAGCUUACCUUCCAGUCAUUGUUUUGAAAAACCAAACACCCUUGGAAAAACACACCCGUGAAGCCACACACGCAUUGUUUUGUUUCCACUAUUGUUCAUUGUGAUAUAUGACCGAAUUAAAAUACAAUGUGCUCCUGUCCCGCUUUUGGUGUCACACAUGCACAUCACAUGUGCCUCGAGUCUGUCUGGUCACAUUUUUCAGUAAUUGUCCAUUGUUCAAACCUUGUAAUCAACACCACUAACAAGAGCACAAGCACCUGCAAAUGUUCUCUUUUGUUGUUUUGCCAAUGAAACGUUGCAGGACAACCAGCAGCUGGCGUGCAGAGGAAGCAACAAAUGUUCUUUUCAACAAAAUGAAGCUAUACUGAUUAUCCCCCCACUGGUACAGCUUGACUCUGAUGAUCAGAUCUCUUCAUUCAUCAGUUUGCAUGUGGCUCACAUUAAACACAGUGACUCAGACGCUUUAUCAUAUGUGAACCAUAUGAUACACACAUAUUGCAAACGCAGUUUACACACGGUGAGCCAAGACUUUUAAAGUAUGCAUUGUGUCACACUACAAACAUUACACUGCAAUCAACAUGAGGAGCUACACGUUUAUUCAGGACUACAGCAAACUUUCAACAUGCAUAAGAAAUCUUAACAUCACUAAACCAUUAAUGACACUGGAACCAUCAUUAUAUUUCAUCGGUGGUGCUGGGACAACAUUUUUUUCUUUGCCCACCUUAAAGUUAGCAUGACAGGGGUUCGUUUGACCAACAGUGGACAAGAAGGCCUGUGUGACUUAAGCUUUGACUCCAUGAUCAAUAGGCUUUACACAAACUACACCACAGUCUCAUAGCUUUAAUGGCACGACCACCAAGCUCCUGCACUCAGUCCGAUGAUGCUGAAUAGCAAACAUUUGUUUGCAAAUAUCAAACAUAUCUAAAACUUUGGGUAUGUUGCUACAUUUUAUGUCUAAAUCUCACAACCAAAAACCUGCUGACUUCAUGAUGAGUGAACCAUUACAGUUCUUACUGGUUUCAGGGCUUGAUCCAGUAUUUGAGGUAAUCAGUUUUUAGCCUGGAAAUAUUGCUAAUUCUCUAUGUGAAAUAAAAAUAAUGCAUAUAUAUAUAUGUUCAUAACUUACAUGAUUAAGUUAUGUUGGCCCAUAGCCUAUCAGAUCAUAAAUUUACAUGGUGUAUUGCAGAGGAGAGAUAGUUGGGCAUUAACCUAUGAACUUUGUUAUAAAAAUGAAAUUCCACAUUUCAGAACUGGAGGACAUAUUGCGACUAAAUCACACCAGGACCACAUUCAUCUUAGAGCUCUGCCUUUGCUUCAUUGUAAAACCCCCAUAUCGAAAGGUUUCUUGACUCUUUUGCUUAGUUGUUAUGGUAACAAAGUGACAGAAAAGGCAGUGACUGAAUUGGUAGUUUAUGCUACCGUAGCAUUCUUCCUUUUGCCAAAUGAAUGUUUGCUCUUUAAAAAUGAAUUAAUAACAGGUUACAAGCCUGUCUGACAGCAAAUAAAGCUCUUAACAUCCACCUCAGUUCUAUGAAGCAGAACUUUGUUUUGUCCAGGUAACUUUAGGGUAACCCUGG